GGUGGCCCAGUGGUAGAGCACUUGCCUUGCAUGCAUGAGGCCCUGGGUUCGAUUCCUCAGUACCA
rnacentral:tRNA from 1 species